UCUUGUGCCGGCUGCGGAACUCUUUCCCUUCCUAGUUUGUUGUUGUUAUGUGCCUCCAAGUCGACUGCGACUUAUGGCGACCCUAUGAAUCAAUGAUCUCCAAGAGCAUCUGUCGUGAACCACCCUGCUCAGAUCUUACAUGCCACGGACCACCUGAACAAAGCUCAUGGACCACAAUCUGGGAAUCCCUGGUUUAGACAACACUGUGCUAGACAGACCAAUGAGCUGACUCUGUAUAAUGCAGCUUCCUCUAUUCCAACUAUCAUGGGCAAGGCAAGGAGACUGUCAGGCACAGCUGCACACGCAUAGCUCUCUCUCUCUGACAAACGUGUAUAGUUAAUUGCGCUGAAAGUUUGCCAGGGGAAAAAAGAGGCAGGCUAAGCCCAACUACUUUAAGGCGUAAGCUCUGCUCAGAAUGACAUAGCUACAUCACCCCAUUUUUCAACACAGAUAAGUCAUCUCCCUUUUAGAUCCUCCCAACCCUGCAAUAAGGCUUACUCACUGCGAGGUGAGACAGGGCUGUCUUCACACCCAAGACUUGAGGACCCUACAGUUAAAAAAGCAGGGCACAUGUCCACUUAAGCAUUUCUCCCCCUGGAUAUUUCUUUCAUCUUGAAUAAAGAUGCAAAAUGGAGUACAGAGGCAAUUAAGUCUGUACAUUUGCCACACAUUUGCAGCCAAAUGCGAGCCACUGUAGUGCGUGAAGUAGGAACAGGGAGACCUGGGUUCAAAACCCCAUUCAGCCAUGAAGCUCACUGGAUGUCCUUGCAACCAGCCACUGUCUCUCAGCCUAACCUACCUCACAAGGCUAUUAGGAGAUAAAAUGAGAUGGGGGGAGGGAGAGGGGAGAGAACAAACACUACAUGCUUCUUGAGCUCCUUGGACUAAAGGUGGGAUAUAAAUGUAAAAAAUAAAAUGGGCACAUGGUAUCUACUACAUCACAGCGCAUGUGUGCCUGCAAAUAACAGAUAUAGUCUUGCUACAAGUGUCCCCAAGGCAACUUCAAGACUUCAUAAGGAUUUGGACCACACUCAGCACUGCAGGUACUGCUGCAGGAGUUCUCUGGAAUUAACCUUUGUAGUUCUCUAACUUCUGAAGCACCCCUCCCAAUAUGAACCUACCAGGACUGUUAGAUCUUCAUUCGAAGACCUACACCAGGUCCCUCCUCUGAGAGAGCCUGAGAGGGUGAUGACAAGGGAGAAAUCCUUUUCUGUUGUGGCUCCAUUUGUGGAAUGCUCUCCUCAGGGAGGUCAACCUGGUACCUUCACUGGCAUCUUUCUGGUCCAAGGUUAAGACUUGUCUUUUUCCUCUCCAAGGCCUUUAAUAGACUGAGUUGAUUUUGGUUUUACUGUCAAUGUGCUGCCAAAACUUCCUGUGGCUGUUAUGGGGGGAUGAGGUAUUUUUAUUUAUUUAUUGUAUGUGUUUUAUAUAUAUUUCCCACACUGGUUUUGCAGGUUGAAUUUCAACAGCCACACCUCACACUUUUGUUUGGGCACCGUAGCCUACAAGCAGGCAAUAUCCAGAGGAAUUCCAGGUACCUUUCUCCUCCCCACCCUCCAACUUAGAUAUCUCUGCACUCAUUACAAGCCACAAGCAUGAUGUGUCAGCUAAGUUUCACUUACAUGAAGCAAUGCAAUUUCCCCCAGCGUUAGCAAUGCCACUUCCAAUCCCUGCCCUUCAAGCCACCUGUAGAGUGCCUUCAGCGGCAGUUUUAAUUUUUGUGCCGUUUAAUAAGGUAAGGUUUUUUAAAAAAACACUUUUGGAAAGUAUGAUGGAACAUGGCCAAAGCUCAGCAGCUGAGCACAUGUUCUGCAUCUGAAAGAUCCCCAGGUUCAGAAGGAUCUCGGGAAGCAGAGCUGAGGAAAAGCGAUGGACAGCUGCCACCAGUCAAGAGUGGGCAGAAUUAGGCUAGAUGGACAAUUUUCCUGAGUCACUAAGGCAGCUCCUCAUUUGCAUUUAAUGCAGGAUGGUUCCUGGGGAGGGAAUGUGGGGCCUGGCACAAGUCAAUACAACUUUAUUGGUGGCCUCUCUCGCCACCCAAAGCAUACACCCCUCCUUUUUGCCACUGCCCUGGCACCAGCAAAGCUCUCCACCUCACCCUGCCCCAUUCUAGGAAGGGGGGAAGUGAAGAGCCUCACUGGAUGAGCAGAAAGGGGCCAGCCAGACAGGAAGGCUGCUGGCUGCGACUGCUACCACCACCACCACCACCCUCCAAACACAAACACACAAACACAUGUGUCUCCUAGCAACGACCCUUUGGUUAAGUAUUUCUACAGGUCAAGAGCUAGCCUGGGGAAUGUCCAGGUCACUUUGAAUGGGGGUACAACAGACCGGAACUGAAAGACCCAUUUCCAAAAUGUAUGCUGCCAAUUAUAAUUUUACAUAAUUAAA